rnacentral:rRNA from 1 species
AUUGAACGCUGGCGGCAGGCCUAACACAUGCAAGUCGAGCGGAGCGGAGGACGGGUGAGUAAUGCCUAGGAAUCUGCCUGGUAGUGGGGGAUAACGUCCGGAAACGGGCGCUAAUACCGCAUACUAUCAGAUGAGCCUAGGUCGGAUUAGCUAGUUGGGGGGGUAAAGGCCUACCAAGGCGAAGAUCCGUAACUGGUCUGAGAGGAUGAUCAGUCACUCGGGAUGUGAGACACGGCACAGACUUCUACGGGAGGGAGGAGUGGGGAGUAUUGGACAAUGGGCGAAAGCCUGAGCCAGCCAUGCCGGGUGUGUGGAGAAGGUUUUCGGAGUGUAGAGCAGUUUAAGUGGGCAGACGUUACCAACAGAAUAAGCACCGGCUAACUUCGUGCCAGCAGCCGCGGUAUAC